UUCUUCUUCUUCUUCUUCUUCUUCUUCUACCAUUUCUUAAUAUAAUUUUCUUUUUCUUUGCUAUCCCAAUUAGAAUGGGAGAUCUCCCCUUUCCUGAUCAUCUUCUCCUCUUCUGCUUCUUUUUCGUCCUAUUCCUUCUGCCUCAGACCCAACCAACCCUCUUGAGGGAGCACCACAUUUGCCAAGAUGAUCAGAAGACUGCUCUCUUGCAAUUGCAGCAAGAGUCAUUUUCCAACACUUUGUGGAAACAAGAAACCGAUUGUUGCUCAUGGGAAAGCGUCACAUGCAACAUCACCACUGGUUACGUGAUUGGUCUUGACUUGAGUUCCAAGCUUUCAAGACCUAUCUAUUCCAACAGCAGCCUCUUCGGCCUCCAUCAUCUCCAAAGGCUCAAUCUUGCUUACAAUCAAUUUGAACAGACUCCUUUCCCAUCUGGGUUUGAUCGCCUUCCAAGAUUGACCCAUCUCAACUUCUCCGAAACCUGUUUCUCCGGCCAAGUACCCUGGGAAUUCUCACGCCUAACAAGGUUAGUUUCUCUUGAUCUCUCGAGUUGGUUAUGUUAUGAGACUACUGCUAAACUGGAAAGACCAAACCUUAAAGAGUUGAUCCAGAAUCUGACAUCUCUCACGGAACUAUACCUUGAUAGGGUAGACCUCUCUGCACAGGGAAGAGAUUGGUCUCAGGUCUUGCCGCAGUUUCUUCCCAACCUAUGCGCAUUGAGUUUGGUCUCCUGUGGUCUUUCAGGUCCCAUUCACUCUUCUUUCUCGCAGCUUGUCUUCCUUGAGGAGCUCCUACUUAGUGAAAACUAUAUUCUUUCUUUUGAAACACCUAAGUUCUUGGCCGCCAAUUUCUCUCAUUUGAAGACUCUUAGUUUGAGCUCUUGUAGAUUGCAUGGGGAGUUCCCCAACGAUUUUUUUCAUCUACCCAAUCUUCAGGUCCUUCAUGUGAAGGACAAUUCUCUCCUCAAUGGUCAAUUCCCAGAUUUUCUACAUAACAAUGCCUUUCAGGACAUAUCUCUCUCUAACACAAAUUUUUCAGGAGCGAUUCCAGAUUCUAUUGGAAAUCUCACCCACCUAACUUUUUUAGACCUUACAAUGAACCAUUUCAUUGGUUCAAUUCCAUCUUCUCUAGCAAACCUUACCCAUCUAGCCUAUUUGGACCUUUCCUAUAAUAAUUUUACAGGUUCAGUCCCUCCGUUUAAUAAAGACAAUGUCCCAAAUCUUGAACUUUUGGACUUGUCCAACAACCUUCUUGAUGGGACAAUCCAUUCUUCUUUAUUUGCACUUCCUUCAUUGCAGAUGUUACAACUCUCGUAUAAUCAGCUUGAAGGUCGACUUGAAUUGUCUCAUAAUUUAUCUAGUUCAUCAUUGGUAACUAUCGAUUUGGUUGGAAACAAAUUGAAUGGAGAAAUACCAAAAUCAUUUUCUGAAUUCUCUAGUCUUUGGGCUCUGCGUGUGAGUUCCAACAAUUUUAGUGGCACUGUAAAGCUGGACAUGUUUGGGAACCUUGAGAACCUUUUGGAUCUUGAUCUGUCAAACAACCUAUUGUCAGUUGAAGUUGGCAACAAUAGUUCUUCUUUUCAUUUCCAGCUUGUUUCGUUGAGGUUGGGAUCUUGCCACAUAAAAGAAUUCCCGGAGUUCUUGAGAACUCAAGAGUAUUUGCAGUAUUUAGACCUUUCAAACAACCAAAUCCAAGGACAUGUACCUAGUUGGAUAUGGAAGGAGGAUCUUCUUGAGGUGGAUCUUUCUUACAAUGGAAUAGUAGAUUUGGAACCUCCUUUUACGGAUCAUUCAAAUCCUUCCACUCUCAAGUCCUUAUAUUCAUUGACAUUGAUUUCUUGCAAUUUGAGAGCAAUCCCUGAAUUUUUGAAGGACCUAAAUGAACUCAUGUUUCUUGACCUUUCAAAUAACAACAUUUCUGGGAAAUUGCCGAAUUGGAUAUGGAAGGAAAGUUUAUCUGAGUUGAAUCUUUCAUACAACUCUCUAUAUGCUUUUGAGCAACCACUCCUAAAAUUUUCGUCAUGUCCAUUAAGUAGUCUUGAUCUUCGUUGGAACAAGCUACAAGGGUCUAUCCCGAUUCCAUCAUCCACUGUCAGAUUCUUUUCAAUUUCGAACAAUAGCUUUGUUGGAGGAAUCCCUGAGUCAAUAUGCAAAUUGAGUAGCCUAUUAUUGUUUGAUGCCUCUCACAAUAAUUUGAGCGGUUCUAUUCCGGAAUGUCUUGGUAACAUUCGCAGUCUCUCAGUAUUGGAUGUACACGAGAAUAGAUUUCAUGGAAUGCCUCAAAAUUUUGCAAAUGCAAGCAGCCUGAAGACACUCAACAUUAAUGGAAACAUAUUAGGAGGGCAAGUGCCUAGGUCAUUGACUAAUUGCACAUCACUAGAGGUUCUAGACCUUGGGAAGAACAAGUUAUCUGAUACCUUCCACUUCUGGUUGGGAAAAUUGCCUAGGUUGCGAGUUCUUGUACUGCAUUCCAACAGAUUCUAUGGCCCCAUCGAACACUUGGGAACCUUCAAUGAGUUCCCAUUGCUGCAAAUUAUGGAUAUCUCUUCCAAUAAAUUUGCAGGUGAUUUGCCAGCUGAAUACUUUCAAAGCUUGAGGGCAAUGAUGUUACAGAAUGGGAAUAAAACAGAAGCACAUUAUAUUGGAAAUUCCUACUACAGAGACUCAGUGACAAUCAUGAUCAAAGGGCAAGAAAUGGAGCUACUGAGGAUCAUGACCAUCUACACAGCUCUUGAUCUAUCCUGCAAUAAAUUCCAGGGGGAAAUUCCAAAAGUGAUUGGAGAGCUCACAUCACUUGUGUUUUUAAACUUGUCUCACAAUGACCUAACCGGCCAAAUCCCACCAUCGAUUGGAAACAUGGCCCAACUUGAAUCGUUGGAUCUCUCACGAAACAAGCUAUCAGGGAAAAUCCCUUGGCAAUUUACUAAUCUUACAUUCCUUGAGGUCCUGAACCUCUCUGAAAAUCAUCUUGAGGGACCUAUACCACGGAGCUCUCAGUUCGAUACAUUUUCAAACACUUCUUACAUUGAGAAUCCAGGAUUAUGUGGUUUCCCUUUAUCAAAGAAAUGUAGAAACACUAGUGAUGAUAUGCCACAACAAGGUGAGAAAUCAAAGUCAACAAAUGACUUCAAAUCUGUUUGGGAAUUCAUGUUGAUGGGUUAUGGAUGUGGAUUGGUAAUUGGGAUUGUCAUAGGACAUAUCAUUGUCAAGGAUGAGUGGCUUAUAAGAACUUUUAGAAUGGCACCAACUAGGCGACAGAGAAAUUCAAAAAGAGGAAGACUGAGGAGAGGAUGAAAAAAGGCACAUAAUGAAAUGUUACUUAUGGAGUGGAAACCUUAUCCCAAAACGAAAAGUACUUGAAAGGAGCUUUGCUAGAAAAUAAUCCAUUUCAAGGCAUGGUUGGCUGAUUGCAUGCAAACGAAGACUUGAUCUCUUAUGUGCCUGGUGCAUUGGUGUUACCAUUCCCUCUAGUAAGACAAGUGAGCCAAUGGAAGUAUUUUGGUGCCCCCCUCAAGAUGGCUGGGUUAAACUUAACACUGAUGGAUGUUUCCUGGGAAAUCUGGGCAGGGCAGGUAUAGGUGGUGUUCUUAGGAACAAUAAGGCGGAGAUCAUAUCAAACUUUAGGGAAGCAAUUGGUGUCAAAACAAAUUUUGAACUUGAAAUUUAUGCAGAAAUCUCAGGUAUAGAAAAAGCAAGAGAUUGUGAGGUUCAAAAUCUGUGGAUCGAAGUUGACUCAGUGGCAGUGGUUCUUCUUCUUCUAGAGGUCUAAUCCCAUGGUUUGUCUUCCAAAGAUGGAGAGGGCUUCAGAUCUAUUUAUAGUCAACUGUUUGGAAGAUUUCUCACUGAUUUCACGAAGGAAAUGCAGCAAAGUUGGGCACUUCAAAACCCUGUCUCAUCUUGCCUCCUUUGACUCGUAUGGCCCUUGAGCAGGACGCGAGUAUGCGUCCUCGCUAUAGAUUCUUGUAAUUUUUUGGGGUUGAUUUUCUUGGGGCUUUUUUCCUGUUGAUGGCAAUGCCGAAGGUGGGAGUCUAGCUCUGAGUUAAUCUUUGCCGUUUUAUUUCUCAUCUUUGUACAUUAUUUUUCUUCUUUCAUUUUAAUAUAAUCAGGA